UGUGGGAGCGGGCUUGCUCGCGAAAGCGGUGUGUCAGAUUAAUUUAUGUCGACUGACACUCCGCCUUCGCGAGCAAGCCCGCUCCCACA
rnacentral:antisense_RNA from 1 species